GCGGGGUAAAGUAGUGUGAUUUUAUUUCAUGCAAAUCCUUCAAGGAACACAUCAUAAAACAACACAAGCCUCACCGCUAGACUCAAUCUGUUAAUUCACCGUCUUGGAAACAAACUGUAACUCAUAUAAAUCAACUGAAUACUAAGUUGAAACGUGGUUUACUUCCAAAGAUUCGACCAGAGUGAAAGAUUAUUGCAACUGCAGUCGGAUCGGCGUCUCGGGUGCAGAGGAGGAAUGCCAGAUGCGGAGGGUGAGGCGUGUUCCCACGAAUGACCCUCUGGUAUGCUGGAAGUGGUCCAUGAUGUAUUGAGAGGCCUCGUGUGCGACAGCUCGUUAACGCAUGGCCCGCUAGUUACAGAAUAAAUAUCUUUGUCUAAUGUGCACUUCCGUGUGACCCGCAAUGUUGGUGAUGGCAGCACCGUCAAGGUCUGCGGAUUACUGAAUGGAGCGCUGAAGUUGGUGACGACUCGUGGCGCAGGCAAUACAAAUGGAACAGUACAUUGAUUUAAGAAAGGUUCGGAAAUAACACUGAAUAAGCAAAUAUUACUAAUAGAUUGUCGUAAACGCAAUGUCCUCAAUAUAAGUCAUUUUACCAAACGCCAUGUCAAAACAUCUUGUAUUUAAUAAGAUGUAUACAAUGUUUUAAAAAAGGACAAUCCAAAUACUUCUUGAAAGUUGCCAUAAAAUUAAGAAAAUUUGUAGUAUUAAAACA